CAUCGACGUGGAACGUAGCAUUAUGGGAAACGUUUUCACCAGAUAACUCAAUCUGAAUGAAGUCAUUUCUAUGGGAUAAAGCUUCAACCCUGUCAGCGAGAUUUGACAGAAUACUCAUAACAUUUGUGUAAUAUUCGGCUAAAUUCGGUGCAUUAUCUGAACGAGGUAAAAAAAAAAACCUGUUGCCGAAUUUCACGGUUAUUAAAUYGUUCACGAGUAGAAAUUUGCGCAUUUUGAAUCUUUUCUGUUGAGAGUCCUGCUCCGUAUUGACGAAUGUCAUCUGAAGGCACAGCCCCGAAUCCUGAAACGAAUUGAUUAAGCUUGUGUAGAGCAUUUUCACUCUGAGAUAAAUUUUGUAAAGAGUUUUCAUCUUCCUGGAUUUGAGAAAGAUCUGAUACAGCUUUCUCUAAAAGUUGAAAAUAUUCAUCUGUCUGAGAUCUUUCUUCCGGACGAGUCUCCUGAGAAAUUAUCUCGUCAGGAGAAAUAUGUGUCAAGUUUACAGGCAAAGGGAUUUCCCGUAAUCUGUAUAUUUCAGCUUGCAAAUCAUAAAAAGGAAGAUUUGAAAUUGCUUUGUCCGAAGUGUGGAAAAAGUCCACAGUUUGCCGUCUUUCAUUUAAAUGAUUUUCCUGAGAAAUUAUCUCAACAGGAGAAUUUUGGAAAGAGUUUACAUUGACAGGUAACGGAAUUUGUCUUAAUUCAUCUACGGCUGAUUGAAGGUGAUUUAUUACGUUAAGUGACAAAGGAGGUUCUGACAUUUUUUCUAGGUACAACGAGCAGAAAAAAUCUUACAGUUCGUCCAAUAUUCUGACGCACAGGUCCAUGGUCUUGCUGAGUGCGUCAAGACAGCGACGUUUCAGGAGGGCCGGAGAAAAAUCAUCAGAACAUCCUGUAUUCUGUGGAUCUGCUCCGGACGACUCCAAUGGACUGAACUCUAAAAGACUCUUUGGGCUGGGAGUCCUGUGAUAGGCUGGACAAAACUGUCACAUGGUGUUGACAUAAUGUAUAUUAUUGGCUGUAUUCUGCUGACGCGUUCAGUCGCAAGCAUGCAGAACCUUCCUGAUUCAGUUCUGUUUGUUUGUUGCUCAUAAUUAAACCAUAUUUGAUUAUCGUA